CUCACCUGUCCACUCACCUGUCCUCUCACCUGUAGUCUCACCUGUCGUCUCACCUGUCCUCUCACCUGUCCUCUCACCUGUCGUCUCACCUGUCGUCUCACCUGUCCUCUCACCUGUCCUCUCACCUGUCCACUCACCUGUCCACUCACCUGUCCACUCACUGUCCUCUCACCUGUCCUCUCACCUGUCCUCUCACCUGUAGUCUCACCUGUCGUCUCACCUGUCCUCUCACCUGUAGUCUCACCUGUCCUCUCACCUGUCCUCUCACCUGUCCUCUCACCUGUCGUCUCACCUGUCCUCUCACCUGUCCUCUCACCUGUCCUCUCACCUGUCCUCUCACCUGUCCUCUCACCUGUCGUCUCACCUGUCCUCUCACCUGUCGUCUCACCUGUCCUCUCACCUGUCGUCUCACCUGUCCUCUCACCUGUCCUCUCACCUGUCCUCACCUGUCCUCUCACCUGUCCUCUCACCUGUCCUCUCACCUGUAGUCUCACCUGUCCUCUCACCUGUCCUCUCACCUGUAGUCUCACCUGUCCUCUCACCUGUCCUCUCACCUGUAGUCUCACCUGUCCUCUCACCUGUCCUCUCACCUGUCCUCUCACUUGUUCACUCACUUGUUCACUCACUGUCCUCUCACCUGUCCUCUCACUGUCCUCUCACCUGUCCUCUCACUGUCCUCUCACCUGUCCUCUCACUGUCCUCUCACCUGUCCUCUCACCUGUCCUCUCACCUGUCCACUCACCUGUCCACUCACCUGUCCUCUCACUUGUUCAGUCACUGUCCACUCACUGUCCACUCACCUGUCCUCUCACUUGUUCACUCACCUGUCCUCUCACUUGUUCACUCACUGUCCACUCACCUGUCCUCUCACCUGUCCUCUCACCUGUCCUCUCACCUGUCCUCUCACCUGUCCUCUCACCUGUCGUCUCACCUGUCCUCUCACCUGUCCUCUCACCUGUCCUCUCACUGUCCUCUCACCUGUCCUCUCACCUGUCCACUCACCUGUCCACUCACCUGUCCUCUCAGCUCAGAGGGCUGUACUGCGAAGCCAGUUUAGUGUGUUAG
rnacentral:lncRNA from 1 species